UAUUCUACAGGGGUGGCUCCGUUCAGUAUGACUAUUUUUCCCACCCCGGGAUAGAGAAAAGAACGAGUUCGCCGGGUGCCAUGAUUUAGGCUACUUGAAUACUCUCCAUUGAAGGAGAUACCAUGUGGGAGGAAAGUGUCACGUGACAAAUUCACUCAAUGGCGGAGGAUUAAACAGACGGACUAUCGAAGGGAGUCUUGGGGUACUGAAUGGAACCUUCCCGACACCUGACCUGGGUAGGAUAAAGCUGCCGGUAAAAGGGGUGUCCUCGCCGACCGCCAUUCAUUUAUGACGUGCCGGCGGGCUAGUGAAUAGACCUCUGUGGGUGCAAGAGGGACCGGAUCAUUCACCUCCACACGCCUGAGGCCCUCCUUUGCAAGCCCGUCAACCACUUCAUUCCCCUUCAGGCCGACAUGAGCUGGGACCCAUACCAUGGACGUCUUUCUUGGGUGGAUGGAUUCAGAGAUGACCCCAGAGAUGCGGCCAUGACUGUGGCACAUUUGCCGCUUGGGACAAUAAAGUCAAGUCAGCAACUGUCUACCAGAUGGCAAGAUUCAUCUCUUCCAAAGGAUGUCAUACCUUUCCAGAUACACUGUGUUGUGUGUGGAUAAGAAAUCCAGAGUGGUACCACAAGUCACCUAAGCCACCAUUCCCCUAACAGACGCAAGGCUCAUGGGGACAGUCCCUGCAGUUUACAGCAAAGCUCUCAAUUGUAGCCCUACUAACUUUAGAUUUACACCCACCUCUUGCCGAGGGCGUAGCUUGGGUGCCACGGGCCGGUUUUCCAGCCGUGUGGAAUCAACAUCUCCAGCUGAACUGGGGCCGGGAAUUAUAUAAGACUCCUCAGCAGCACGGUAAAGAACGGAUCGAUGAUUUCCUGGAUAUGGACAAGACCAACUACCUGCAGGGAUUAAGCAGAAUAGAGCAGUAUUGAAAAACAAGAACAAAACUUUUUAAUGAAAACAAAACACUUUCGUUAGAAAGCACAGAAGAAAAAAGCAGCAAUGACGAUACACUGAAGUGAUUGGAGUUUCACCACAAUAAGAUACCAUAAAGAAAGUCAACAAGUCGGUCAGUUUUGCAGGUGGUCUGCAAAAGUGCAAAAAAUUGUGACGCAAACCAAAAUACUUAGACUAAAGUUUUCAAGAAACUGUACUGUCUUUGAACUUUAAACAUAUGUUCGCAUGAAGUGAAGAUGUAUUUGACAUAGUUAUGAUAUGGAGCAGUCCAAUAUUUGUUAGAGGGGGAAAAGGAUUUGUAAAAGUUUCAAGAUGCAAACAAAUAAUCAUUCUCAAGACAAUAAGGAAUUAUAAAUAUUUAAAAGAUACAUACUGUGGAAGAACUUUUUAUACAUACUUAUUCACAUUAUUUAAGAAAAUUUGGACUCAGUUUGAUCUGUACCUAGCAAGCUAUAAUAUGCAAAUAUGGUAUCUUUAUUAUUCAUAUAAAUUUAUUCUGAUGCCUUGAUUAACAGGUGUGAAAUAAAUAGCACAGCAGCUACCUAGUUGUUUGACUGACCACUGUGCACACACUGUGAUAUAUAGCCAUAGAUAUUAAAGUAACCAUUAAAGCUGCACUCUCACAAAUUGACAGUUUUGACCUUUUGUUAUUUGUUUUGUCUCAGAGUCUAUAUAAUCAUAUAAUGAUAACACAAUUUAAUAGUUCUUUCCAGGAUUAGUGUGUCACUUUGUAUGUAAAUACACAUGGAUAUUUGCUCAGUAACCACAACAUUAUGUCAUUCUUGUUGUAUUUAUCAAAAGCUAAUGUAGCUUUAAAAUGUGUGUACAAUGUUCCACCAUUCUGUCAACUGCAUGCUGCAUUGUUGCUACUGUUACAGUGAACUUUUUAUAAAAAUUGAGAUUGAUUUUCAAAGAGACAAUACAUAAAUCAGUCAACAAUUCAUUAAAUGGAGAUUUUUUGCAUUGAUGUGAUAUUGUUGCACACAGAUCUAGAAUAUUGGAGCCUUAGGCCAUAAUAAUACAAAAACCUUGUCAUAUGUACACAACCAUCAUUCAAUACAAUUAUUUAAAGAGAUUUGGUAACACGAGAGCUUAAUUAUAACAUUGUGUCAAAGUUUGUGAAUGUGUGUUCUUUGGAUGUUCAGUAAAUAUUUAUA